GCUUGUCUCAAAGAUUAAGCCAUGCAUGUCUAAGUGUAAAUAAGUCUAUACUGUGAAACUGCGAAUGGCUCAUUAAAUCAGUUAUCGUUUAUUUGAUGAUCUCUUACUACUUGGAUAACCGUAGUAAUUCUAGAGCUAAUACAUGCACAAAAUCCCGACUUACGAAGGGAUGUAUUUAUUAGAUACAAAACCAGCAUCUCGUUGGUGAGUCAUAAUAACCAAGCGAAUCGUCGGUUUACCGACGAUAGAUCGUUCAAGUUUCUGACCUAUCAGCUUUGACGGUAGGGUAUUGGCCUACCGUGGCAAUGACGGGUAACGGAGAAUUAGGGUUCGAUUCCGGAGAGGGAGCCUGAGAAACGGCUACCACAUCUAAGGAAGGCAGCAGG
rnacentral:rRNA from 1 species